rnacentral:rRNA from 1 species
UACGUAGGGGGCUAGCGUUGUCCGGAAUCAUUGGGCGUAAAGAGCGCGUAGGCGGCCAGAUAAGUCCGGUGUGAAAGUCACAGGCUCAACCUGUGAAUGCCGCUGGAAACUGUCUGGCUAGAGUCCGGGAGGGGCGAGUGGAAUUCCUGGUGUAGCGGUGAAAUUCGUAGAUAUUCGGAGGAACACCAGUGGCGAAGGCGGCUCACUGGUCCGGUACUGACGCUGAGGUGCGAAAGCGUGGGGAGCAAACAGG